UAUAUUGGUAAUAAAACAUUUAUUGGGAAGC
rnacentral:piRNA from 1 species